UGAGUCCGGUGUGGGGUUAGCUCUUUUGCGCUAUUUAACGAUAAGGAUAAAAAUGUUGUUUAUGCGGUUCUGUUUUUAAAUUUAAACACUCAACAAGCUCCUUAGGAUGUCAGCUAAAUAGCUCCAUUCAUCCUGGGUGUUUUGGAUGAGGAAAAUGAUCACGGCUGACGGCUGUGAUGCUGACCUGGCUUCAAGAAAGCUCAAAGAGGACAGGAAAUGGAUCAGAGUUGAAUGACAGCAGCAGCAGUCUGACAGACCUUCACUACAAAAGAAAACGGAAGUCGCACUCCGCAAGCUAGCAUUACCACAUCCAACGGGGAACCUGGUGCUACACAAACACCUGUGACAUAUUUUCAGAUAAAAGCAGUUGGUGCUCUACAUGGAGUGUGUGACGCAUGUGGGUGAAGAGCCAGCGCCAGCACAGG